rnacentral:SRP_RNA from 1 species
AGCUGGGUCCUGCGCAACGGAAACCUGCCAACCCCGUCAGGUCCGGGAGGAAGCAGCGGUAGCAGCGUCAGACGUGUGCCGCAGGGGAGCCUAGCUAUC